rnacentral:lncRNA from 1 species
GGAGUAAGAAGGCAGAAUAAAGUUUCAAGUCUAUUAAAAAUUUCUCCUUUCCAGGCUCCAUGGAAAAGGUGGAGACCUGAACCAGGAGUAUCUUAUUUUUUUCUAUACGGAAACCCUUGAGAAUGAAGACACCGGAGGAAUAUAUCAAACCUUGCUGUGCCAAGGCCCCGUGGAACUCACAAGGGGGAAGAAAAGGAACAAAAGGCAUCUAUCCUUAUUUAAUGAUGUUUUGGUUGUGUCUAAUAACCUCGUGGACAUCUGCUUCUUUCCGGAAUAAGAAAAGGUUUAAGAUAAACUGCAUCAUCCCACUGAAUUACCUGUGCACAGUGGAUGAUGUGGACUUAGACAACAUGAAUGAAAUGUGUACUUGCAAGACCAUUUACCUGUUUUGGCCCACUGGAAA